rnacentral:rRNA from 1 species
GUCCUAGCCCUAAACGAUGGAUGCUUGGUGUGUCGGGUACCCAAUCCCGACGUGCCGAAGCUAACGCGAUAAGCAUCCCGCCUGGGGAGUACGGUCGCAAGGCUGAAAACUCAAAAGGAAUUGACGGGGGCCCGCACAAGCGGUGGAGCAUGUGGUUCAAUUCGACGCAACGCGAAAGAACCUUACCUGGGCUCGAAGCGCAGUGGACCGGGGUAGAAAAUAUCCCUUUCCGCAAGGACCGCUGCGGAGGUGCUGCAUGGCUGUCGU